GAAGCACCGCAUAAAUUUCGACGCUCAGUGGAAUUCGGUCUCAUUUUGCAUCGAGCGUCGAGACGUUGAAAUAUUGGUGUUUGUAUUAUAUUACGUUGUGCAAUUUAUUAGUUUUUGAUUAACGUGAGCUGGAAAUUUGUUGAACUUAUUCAUCAACCAACCAAAACAUGCAAAUCUCCAGCAACGGAAUCAUGCUCCACCGCACAGAUCCGAUGUGUUGCCAAAAGCAAGCGCUUUAGGCGCUGUUUCUGGCAACACAUUUAAUAGAAAUUACAGUGGUUGGUUCAUCAUAUGUGCGGAGGUGCUUCGGACAACAGUGGUCAGCAUCGGAGUUUGAAGCUUUACCCAGCGUGUAGAGCCACUACUAAUCGAUUCGGUGGAAUGUGCGGAUGGAAAGAUGGCGACGUUCUCUGACGCCUGCCUUCCGCCGAGUCACCUCUCCCGUUGGUGGCAUUGUCACCGCGGGGGAUUUUUAGCAUGUAAGAAUGACUAAACAAGACAAAACCAGACAAUGACAAGACACGACUGCGACUCUAUGUUUGUGAAAAAAUAAAAAUGUUAAAUGGAAUCAAA